rnacentral:misc_RNA from 1 species
CUGGGUUACCAUCCCUUCCUGUUUUCUCCACAUUAUUCAUUUCAGCCUACCAAACCAAAAUACCAAAUGCAUACUUGUUGACAAGCCAGAACGUAAAACAAGUAACCACACUGAGGGAGUUUUCACACUUCACAGGUCUGAAUGUUGCAUCAAGCCUAUCAUCCCAAAUGCAAGCAGAAACUAAGACACUACCCAAGUCAAAACACAACUCCAAUCAUCUGACUAGACUCUUCCUACAUUGCAAACACCUAUUAAAUUCACCAACAUUCAUGGAUUCCAAGAUUCCCUUGUUUGAAUUAAACCUUAUGUAGUUAUUCAAUGAAAACAUUCACUCGGCAGGAAGAAGACAGAGAGGGGAAGAAAACACAUUCAAACUAAUUAGUGUUUAACUUCCACCGGCUCCCUUAAUAGAAGGAAAUAGAACCUAAUAUAUCAGUAAUGUAUGCAAGAAAGUAAAUAAUUAAGCAUCUGUUUAGAAUUUCUGUAUAACAACAGAACUUGCUAUGCCAGCCUCCUCUAUUGUCUGCUCUGGAUCUGUGAGUUGUUUGGGAGGGAAUCCCAUUGUUUGCAGUUGGUAAUUUCUUGCCCCUCCUGGUCUUGAUGCCUCAAUGAAGUCACGAAUAUCUCUGAUUGUAUGAUGUAAGUUGAAGCGUGCAACCAUGCGUGUACCAUCUGCUAACCUAAGCUGAAUUGAAGUAGUUGGUGCUGAAGAAUCUACAGUUAGGCCUAUAGCUGGCGAUGGAACAGUCUUACUCAGAGUAGUGGAAGAACUUGGAUUGGACGCAGCUGGGGUGACUCUGCUACUGCUGCUACAUAGCAUUCUUCCCACACCUUUGAAUGGAAUUUGGAGUUUCUCUGGUUCCUGUGUGAAAAGUGAAGAUGAUAAUAGUAUCAAUGAUGAAUAGAUAAAGACAAGAAACUAAUGAGAUAAAAAAAUGACUCACAGAGAAGUUAUCCUCGCGCCUCAUGAGAUCAAGAUGGACCUGAGUCCUCCUAUCUGCUGGCUCAAGCUCCAAGGGACACUCAGACUUCUUGAUGCUCUCCAGAAAGGAUGCAUUUGCGGGAUCAUCAAACCUUCGCAAAGGUCCAUCAUCUACAGUAAAACCAUUCCUCCAGAGAGUGACAGUGUGAUUAACAACCUCAGGUGGUUGAGGAGCAGAUGGAACUGUCUCACCUGAGAGUAAUCUCCCUGUUCCAGUGAAGCUUCUUGAACUUGAAGAAGACUGCUGGUAAUUAGCAGGCCUUUCCACAGCUCCUGAAUGUCUAGCUUGACUAAAAACGGCAUCUGCGUCAUAUCUUUUGGUAGGGUCUUGGACCAGCAUUCCACUCUUCUCGCCACCAGUGUAAUACUGCUGUCGCUCAUCAUCAUCGUCGUCGUCAUCACUUCCUGAUGCAACCUCAGGCGUCCGAUUCAGAUCAGCAAGCGUGCGAAUCCCUCCACGCGCCGUACUCCCACCAGCCACGGCCUUAGCCGGCUUCUUACCCCUCGAUCGAAGCCGAUAAGAAGCCCGAGACGGCGACGGAGAAGGAGAGCGGGAGCGAGAGCGUGACGGGGACUGCGAGGGAGAAUAAUUGGGAGAGUGAGACUCCGAAGGCGAGGAAGAAGGGGAGGAAGAGUUAGCAGCACGAGCUGAAGGAGCGGUGGGAAGCGAAACAGGGUCGAUAUUGUCAUGAAUAGUAUUGUUGUUGUCAAGGAAAGUAGAGACAGCGGAGUCGAGAUUCCAUUGAUGACUCUCGAGGAAGAAGAGGGCUUCUUCCUUGGAGGAGGAGGUGAUCUCGCAGAAUGAAUUGAUAAGGGCUGCGUUAGCAUUACUAGCGUCGUCACCGCGAUCGUAUUUUGCACCCGUUUCUGUGUUGUCCUCCAUAGCAGCUGUGUAAAGCUUACUCCAGCUUCGCGGUCGAUCGGCAAUCGGCAAUUUUUUAUAGGAUAAAUUAAGG